rnacentral:rRNA from 1 species
CCUUGCCAGCCCGCUCAGAACUUAAGGAAUUGACGGGGCCCGCACAAGCGGAGGAGCAUGUGGUUUAAUUCGAUGAUACGCGAGGAACCUUACCUGGGCUCGAACGUAAGAUGACUGUAGGUGAAAGCUUACAUCUCUUCGGAGCAUUUUACGAGGUGCUGCAUGGUUGUCGUCAGCUCGUGCCGUGAGGUGUCGGGUUAAGUCCCAUAACGAGCGCAACCCCUACCUUUAGUUGCCAUCAGGUUAAGCUGGGGACUCUAAAGGAACUGCCUACGCAAGUAGUGAGGAAGGCGGGGAUGACGUCAAAUCAGCACGGCCCUUACGUCCAGGGCUACACACGUGCUACAAUGGCCGAUACAGAGGGCAGCUACCUGGUGACAGGAUGCAAAUCUCCAAAGUCGGUCUCAGUUCGGAUCGGAGUCUGCAACCCGACUCCGUGAAGUUGGAUUCGCUAGUAAUCGCGCAUCAGCCAUGGCGCGGUGAAUACGUUCCCGGGCCUU